AACCACCGAGAAUUCUAUACGGCCAAUCGCUAUGUGUACAUGUCUACCCUGAACUUAUCGUGUAUACCUCGAGAGCUAGUGGAAAAAGACGAAUAAUGUUAAAACAGUUUUCUCUCUCUCCAACUAUUUUUUUUUUUUCCCCAACCUGUUAUCGUCGAGACUUGAUGCAACCGAGAUUCCCUACGAGGAAUUUGUACUCAGUAUCAGCUCUUUUGCCCACCUUAUCUCCCUCCAAACAAGCGACCAUUUAUCUCUCGCAAUUUUCACGAGGGAAAGGAAAAAAAAAAUACCCCCUCCCCCCCCCCUCGGGAGGGAGAAAAGGAGAGCCAAGAAUACUAAGGACAACUGAAACAAAAAAUAAUAAUCUCACGCGAGCCUAUAAAUCUCUCCAUUUCGACGUUCUUACGUAUUAAUUAGAGAAUUCUGUACAGUAGUGGCUGAAUUUUUUGUUCACAGACCGGUACUUCACCGCAACAGAUACCGGGACUCAACGAAAAAUACAGCCUCCAGGGAUAAAACAACUGUGCAUCAUCAGUUUCAAGAAGUCGUGAGCAAUUUUGACCCCUUAAUUCAUAGAAAUCAAUCGUUCUGUCUGCCUCAAUAUUCAGAGAACAGCGCCCAGUGGCUAGGAAUUCUUACGUAUUACCAUCACUCAUUUUUUUUUCUUCUUUAUCAUUCAAUGUUUUAAGUAAAUUAUCGGAUAGCCUGAGAGAUGGUGACGAAUGAAAAUGAUAAAGCACUAUUGUGCAAUAAUUCAACAAAGAAGAAGGUGGUCUCGAGUGAGAGACUGAAGAUGUCUCUCUUUCUCUCUCUUGCACCGUAGGAGGUAAUAUUUAAUAUUUUCUCACUAAUUCGCGCUCGCCCUAAUUGCUGUGAUUAGUCUUCAUUUCGUGAUAUUGGUUUUUGGUACCGGUGAAGAACAAACGGUGGAUGAGAGUGGGAAUUCAUUCAGCCGUAACAUUGCAUCCGCCCUCCUUUGUGAAAUUAGUGCAGUAGCUGUUGUAUACGAGACCUCAAUAGGACGUGCUACAUUUUACGAUGCACUCGACAUUGGACGAUUGGGAAGAAUUGUCGACAAAUAAAGUUGUAUCCGUAGCAUACGUGUCGUUUGUUUUAUCCUGUGAUUCUUUGAGUGAUGUUUUGAUGCUCCAGAAGUGAAGUCUGACCACUGCUCGGGCGUAACCGCUUCGUCGGCACAAUUUACCGAGUGAUUCGAGCGUGGAAAACUCGCUGAGAGAGUCCAAAUGCCAGAGCUACCAAUGGCGUGAGGAACUUUAGCGCCAUUGCAUUCUGAUCGAAUUUCGUUUCGAUUGGAUUGGAUUUUCUGCUCUCUCGAUUUCUCGGCUUUGUUGAGAUGAUUUUACGCUUGGUGAGGAGCUCAAUAUGAUUGUUCUGGUUAAGGGUAGAGAGGGAGGCGGCGAAGUUGGCACUGAUUUAUGCGACUCUUCGAUGUCCGUGACGAAAACAAGAAAACUACAAUUUUGAUAGCUCUGAAUCUGCAAAACAAACGAUAAUGCAGACAAUAACAGAGAGCUGUGCGGCAAUGCCUCAAGGAUAGUUGGAAAGUCACUCGCUGACGUUUCCUCACGAUUUUCUCAUUCCUCAGCCGUCGCUGGCUUGUCUCAAUUGUCGAUAGUUAAUGCAUUGGAUGAGUUUGCCUCACAUCUUCAACUUGCGACGAUGUGCCGAGUGUUUUUCACGGGCAUCAACGCACACGCUGGGUCACAACAACUGUACAUCUCUUCGGUUGUAACACGUGAAUAGAUCUUUUUAUGAUCACAAGUUUUACGAGAAAAAAUUAUAUCCGGAUUAAAAAUGAAAAAAAUUGGAAUUUCAGGGGCAUUAAACUUAUAAUUUUGAGACUUGGGACAUUUAAUGAGCUUUGAGGAGUUGAAAAUCAUCAAAUUCUUUUGAAAACUCAAUUAAAUUACAAUUUUUUUACGACUUGGAAAUGAGAAUUCCUCAAACGGUUUAAAGUCUUAAUAAAAAUCGUUAAAACAAACGCUAGUUUAUCGACUAAAAUUAGUCUACAUUUUCCUCAUUUCCAUAAGAUUUAAUGAAUCAAUUUAUCUCCAUCUCAAUUAUGAAUUUCGUUGGAAUUUUCGCGGAACUGCCAUUUGACAAAAAUGUACAAGAAAAAUACCUGGAAUUUCAUCUAGAUAAGUCGUAAAAAAUUUCACAAUCUUCGAAUAAAAACUAAGAGUAAUUGUCUACCAGUAAUAAAAUAAAGAAUGUAAA